UACGAAGGGGGCUAGCGUUGCUCGGAAUCACUGGGCGUAAAGGGUGCGUAGGCGGGUCUUUAAGUCCGGGGUGAAAUCCUGGAGCUCAACUCCAGAACUGCCUUUGAUACUGAGGAUCUUGAGUUCGGGAGAGGUGAGUGGAACUGCGAGUGUAGAGGUGAAAUUCGUAGAUAUUCGCAAGAACACCAGUGACGAAGGCGGCUCACUGGCCCGAUACUGACGCUGAGGCACGAAAGCGUGGGGAGCAAACAGG
rnacentral:rRNA from 1 species